UUGAACGCUGGCGGAAUGCCUAACACAUGCAAGUCGAGCGGGGUAGCAAUAUCCAGCGGCGGACGGGUGAGGAAUACAUAGGAAUCUGCCUUUAGGUGGGGGAUAGCUAGGGGAAACUCUGGGUAAUACCGCAUGAUCUCGCAAGAGCAAAGGGGCGCAAGUCUCGCCUUUAGAGGAGCCUAUGUCUGAUUAGCUAGUUGGCGGUGUAAUAGACCACCAAGGCGAUGAUCAGUAACUGGUCUGAGAGGACGAUCAGUCACACCGGAACUGAGACACGGUCCGGACUCCUACGGGAGGCAGCAGUGGGGAAUAUUGGACAAUGGGCGAAAGCCUGAUCCAGCAAUUCCGCGUGUGUGAAGAAGGCCUUCGGGUUGUAAAGCACUUUAGUGGGGGAAGAAACAGCUUGGCCACACCAAGCCUUGACGGUACCCCAAGAAUAAGCACCGGCUAACUCUGU
rnacentral:rRNA from 1 species